UGAUAGCUAUGAAGCGUGAGGUUGCCGCAAACCGUAUUUCUUAAAAGGCAUGUACGGGCAUGUGUGAGAUAUGGCGGAUCGGGUUUUUACGCUGAGCAAAUGUCAAGUUGAACCUGACGACA
rnacentral:ncRNA from 1 species